AUGCUUCUCCCCUCUUCUUCGUCUUCCUCGUACGAUCCCAAAGGUGACUCCUUUGGGAAAUCGGUUGACGAUCAUAUGAGGUCAACCUUGACUUUUGGUGAUAAGCAUUCUGUAUAUGCAAGUCAAAACACUGACUAUGGCCACCCAAUGGCUUGCAUUUCAUACCCGUUCAACGAUUCUGGUUCUGGAGUUUGGGCGGCCUAUGGGUCACGGGCUAUGUUCCAGCCCCUCAUGCCGGGAGGAGGGGCAUCUGCAACGGCAAGAGUUCCAUUGCCCGUCGAAUUAGCAGCGGAUGAGCCCAUAUUUGUCAAUCCCAAACAAUAUAACGGGAUUCUCCGGCGAAGGCAGCUGCGCGCUAAGUUAGAGGCCCAGAAUAAACUCACCAAAAACAGAAAGCCCUACCUCCACGAGUCUCGCCAUCUUCACGCGAUGAAGCGGGCAAGAGGUUCCGGGGGACGUUUCCUCAAUUCCAAACAGCUGAAGCAGCAGCAGCAGCAGUCUGGCAGUGCAUGCACGAAGGCCAUUGCGGAUGGCGCGAAUUCCCUGGGUUCAACCCAUCUACGGCUAGGCAGCGGCGCAGCCGGAGACCGAACCAACUCGGCGUCCAAGGCGAUGUCCUCCCAAGAGAACAGCAAGAGGGUCGCUGCCCCGGCUCCCGCCUUCACCAUGAUUCAAGCGGCGCGCAAAGACGACGACUUCUUCCACCAUCACGCUCACCAUCUCAGCUUCUCCGGCCACUUCGGCCAGUCCAGCGACCGGUAUACGUAA
rnacentral:rRNA from 1 species